rnacentral:rRNA from 1 species
CCCAAGAGAUCGGGAUAACACCUGGAAACAGAUGCUAAUACCGGAUAACAACAGAUGAUGCCUAUCAACUGUUUAAAAGAUGGUUCUGCUAUCACUCUUGGAUGGACCUGCGGUGCAUUAGCUAGUUGGUAGGGUAACGGCCUACCAAGGCGAUGAUGCAUAGCCGAGUUGAGAGACUGAUCGGCCACAUUGGGACUGAGACACGGCCCAAACUCCUACGAGAGGCAGCAGCA